rnacentral:rRNA from 1 species
AUGACCAUGAGCCUCGACAUCGACAAGGGCGUCUCGGCGUCCUGCGACUCGGAGGGCCGCUCGACGCUGGUCUCCCCGGUGGUUGCGCUGGAGGACGCGUCAGGGGCUGCGGCAAGCCCUCCCAAGGUGGUGACCGGCAGUGGCGGCGGCGUGUUGAAGCUUCAGAAGAAGACGGCGGGCCGCAAACCACCUGUGGUGGCGCCAGCGGGCACCCCCGCGGUCCGUGCGAGCGUGCCGGUCCAGAGGCCGGUGGUGAUGGCACUGGCCUCUCCAGGGGGGCCGGCAGGGGACACCCCAUCGGUCAUCUCCCCCCCACCUCCGGACGCUCUUCGGGUGGAGGUGGCCAAGGUGGCGCCCAUCCCCACGGCCAGGCGGUCCAAGGCGGUGGCGUCCGCGCCGACUCAAGAGAGGAUGAGCUCCCGUCCGAAGGGCGCCAAGGGCAACAUACCGUCCCUCCAACGGGCCCAGCUCCUCCAGGCGCAGAAGAACCUCGAAAUCGAAGCAAUGGGCAUCGCUGGGAAGACAACAGGACUCUGA